GUUGAACUUGUUCGAGAAAUCUUCAAGCGAAUUGAGAUUCCAGUACGAUGAUUGGUUAAGAAAGGAAGAAUUGCUUAACAGUUUGUUGAGCAGCAUAUUUAAAUUGAUGCCUACAGAUGUCCUCAGAUACACUGAGGGAAAAACGCAACCGGUCUUUGAAUGUUUUUUCGAAAAGCCCAAACUACUUCUUGGAGAAGAAAUAAACAGCGAAAAAUUGGAGCGAUUCGUUUGUUGGAUUUACGCUUCAACAUUGGCGCAGCUUCCGACUUCA